UAUAUAGAGUCUGAUUAUAAUGCUAUCAAUAGCACCAAAUACUAGGUGGUAGCAACUACCCACUCAACCCUAAACCUUAUAUAUAUCACACUAUUCCAUCAAACGCACACCCAACCCUAGGGUACGACUAUCAUCCUAAUUACAUAUUCCUUCAUUCAGGUAUGAAAAUAUAAUAACAUCAAUGAGUUGGUGCUAUUAAUAGUAUAGUAACCUAAUUCUGAAUAUAUAUAUAAUAAUGAGGCAUAUUUUAUGAUU
rnacentral:lncRNA from 1 species